rnacentral:rRNA from 1 species
GGGGAAUAUUGGACAAUGGGGGCAACCCUGAUCCAGCAAUGCCGCGUGUGUGAAGAAGGUUUUCGGAUUGUAAAGCACUUUCGACGGGGACGAUGAUGACGGUACCCGUAGAAGAAGCCCCGGCUAACUUCGUGCCAGCAGCCGCGGUAAUACGAAGGGGGCUAGCGUUGCUCGGAAUGACUGGGCGUAAAGGGCGUGUAGGCGGUUUGUACAGUCAGAUGUGAAAUCCCCGGGCUUAACCUGGGAGCUGCAUUUGAUACGUGCAGACUAGAGUGUGAGAGAGGGUUGUGGAAUUCCCAGUGUAGAGGUGAAAUUCGUAGAUAUUGGGAAGAACACCGGUGGCGAAGGCGGCAACCUGGCUCAUAACUGACGCUGAGGCGCGAAAGCGUGGGGAGCAAACAGGAUUAGAUACCCUGGUAGUCCACGCUGUAAACGAUGUGUGCUAGAUGUUGGGUAACUUAGUUAUUCAGUGUCGCAGUUAACGCGUUAAGCACACCGCCUGGGGAGUACGGCCGCAAG